UAUUGGGGAGGGAAACAGAGUUGAGAAGAUGGGAAAUGUUUCUCUGAUUUUAUGUUAGUGGUGGUAGUGUUAGCGAUCAGAGUUGGUGUUGGCCAAUCCCAGCUUACAUAUGAUUACUACAGAUCUUCGUGUCUGAAUGUGGAAACUAUAGUUAGGCAAGAAAUGCUAGGCAUUUUCUUGGUGGAUGUUACAGCACCAGGUGCUUUUCUUAGGCUCUUGUUCCAUGACUGCCAAGUUCAGGUUAAAAAAAAUUAUAUUUCCUUGUUUGUUCUCUGCUUCGAAAAAAUAUGGUAAUGUCAUUAUCAUUAUACUGAUAUCAAAAUUUUUGCUUGGAAUAAGUUUUUUUCCGCAAAAUCCUCCCAUGAGGCGGUUAGCUUGCAUUACGGCUGAGUUUAUAUUAGAUUACCUUUAUGUCCAUCUAAGAAAGAGGGAAAAAGAAAGUAAAGAGGUUAUGAUAAGGGUAGUUUUGCCAUUUGGAAAAGAUAGGGAAACCCUAGUGGAUCCAUUAUUGGAGUAUAAAUAAAGACUCCUCAACCACAACUACUCUUAAAGAUGAAGAUGGAGGAAGCUGGAGGUUGUUGCUGAAGCUCUUUGUGAAUGUUGAAGAAUUAGUUUCAUUGAGUUUGCAAAUGCUGACAAAGAUUGGGAUUGCUAAUAUAAGAGAUGAACAGCAUCCCAUCUCAUUAUUUUCAAAUAUGUUCAAAUUAUGGAUCACUAAUUAAACCUUCAAGUUAAAUGGCAACUCUGAGCAAAAUGCUGCCUUGAGUAUAUAUGAUAUAACCUAAAGUUGCAGCCAUGCCAGCAGAAUCUUGGCAAUGUUUCUAUGGAAAUCUGAAAAGAAAGAAAGAAAAAAAGUGUUGCCAAGACAUCUGUGUUGUUUGCUUGCCUGCUGGAGAUGGCUGCUGUAUCUGUGUCGUAAACCUGGCUGUUCGAAGCAGGUAGAAAAGCUCAUCGCUGGGAUUCUAUUAGCUCUUGCAAGUCUAUAAUGGCUUUAUCAAUUGCAUAAAUUAUCAUUUUCUUUAUCUGUUACACAUUGAUAAAAGGGAAGAAGAAAACCACGUUACUCAUGGAAGCUAAGUUAUCAAAAUGUAAUCCAUGCAAAAUAUGUCUCAGGAAAGAAGUUACCUCAAGUUUAUCUUCUCUAGCUCUGUGGUUCAUCGGAAGUUGUCGGAACUCUUCAGUUAACCGGAGGCAUUCCUUUAUAUUUUCAGGAGAGACGAAAUCUACAGCAACUUUAGUACAAGACUGCAUGGAUAAAACAUAAACAAUUCAGACAUUGUUCAACAAUACAAUAAAAGAUAUUCAGCAA